CUGGACAGGGUUUUAGUUAAAAGCUCACUAAAAUAAACAUUUGACCUUCUUCAAAAUCUGUAAUGUACAGAGUGAAGAUUCACACCUACAGUACGGAGUUGUGGCAAAUUAUGUUUCUCAGCCUGUAGAUGGAAAUGAAGAGGCGGCAGCUCCAUUGAAGGCCAGGCAGAUGAGAAGAUUUUUACCAGGAAGAGAAGGAGAGAGAGAAGCUGAAGGAGACUGACGGAGCUGAAGGAGCCGAUCUGAGAGCUCCAGUAACGAUUCCAGAGAACCUGCAUUUCGAAACGGAAAAUGUUCCAGCUCAGCUCAGAACAUGAAGUCGGACGGAAUUUAACAUUAACGUGAUCUGACUAGCUCACUGGCACCACUGUCGCCGCGGCCCAAACCACACUCUUCUGUACUUUACA